rnacentral:tRNA from 1 species
GGGGAAAUAGCUCAGUUGGUUAGAGUGCUGGUCUGUCACGCCAGAAGUCGCGGGUGCGAACCCCGUUUUCCCUG